ensembl:lncRNA
CCCCCAAUGUAUCUCGGCCAUUUCCACCACUGGCUAGACUAGAUUGACUGAAAUGUUAAUCAAUAAUAAUGGCUUAUGGCUAAAAUGUCUACAGUUUUCUGUGACUAAAAUACUUACAGUUUUUUUGACUAAGUUAAGACUACAAUGCCCAGACAUUUAGUUUUUAUUAAAAAAAAAUAUAAAAAAAACAGGAUAUGGUUGACUAAAUAUUAUAAAAACUAAGGACUAAGAUUAAAUUUAAAAAUAGCUGAUAAAAUUAACAUUACUUGCACAUUUAGCCUUGAGUAUUACUGACCUGAGAAUUACAUGAAUUAAGGUGAUUCAGGCCUUUUGAAAUAAACGUUGCCUCCGCCCUGUACAUGUACAUGUUUGCAUGGUCUCCAUGGGCUUUGGGGGUUUUCUCUGGGUGCUUGAAUAACUGGUGACGUCAUCAGAACACACUGUUUGCUGGGAAGAUGUCAGGAAAAUUUUCGUCAGCAUGACGUUACUUUACGGCAACAUUGUGAGCAUGUCUUGGUAAAAGUUCGAUUUUUUGAUAAUCUUGGCUAACGGUCCAGAAACGUCGUGACCACGCCCUCAAAACGUGACCAACUAGUCCCAUGGAGAACAUUGUGAAGAGACAGAUAGCAAGCACAUUUGAGCCGAUUUCGGUAGAAAUGCACCACUCUCGACUCAAUGCAGGUAUUGGUGCAAAGGUAAUUGCCCAGAGCUCUGCUGACUGUUCACACCACUUCUGGCUGACAGACGGUUUUUUGUUACGUGGGCCAGUCUCGGCUGAAAGCAGGUGUAGUUGCGGCAGGUCCAUACUGCCAUACUGUCCGUACUCGGAGUAGCUGUGUGUAUCUACUUUCGGACCGAGUUCGUUAAGUCACAGCUAGAAUUAAGGAGCUCAGCCGCCUGGGGGAAAAAAAACAAGGAAAAAGUUUUGGCGGUUAAAUCAGUUAGGAUCCUCAAGGCUGCAGUUAUUCUUCGUUUUCAAAAGGAAUCAUUUCAGCUGAAGAAGCCAUGCUGAGGGAGGUGCUGACUAAAUUAGAGAUGGUACUGGACCAACAAACCACUGAGAUUGCUUUAUCUACAGGAGGUCCAGGUGCAGCCUUUGGAUAUUGAGGAAGGUUUACUGCCCCUGCAAGACCUUCCUCAACUGUGUAGUCUGGAGCAAAGGAUGCAAAAAAUGAGCCCAGAUUACGAGUAAAAACUGUUUUAGGUAAACUGGUCGGUGCUUAUUGACGGGCGGAUGUGCGUGACUGCACCUGGCACAUAUUGAAGAGGGUGACUGCCAAAUCCCUGGCAACAGCAAUUGGAGGGCCAUCAGUGGAAAGACUUCUCCAACUGAGAAGUCGUGAUCAGUAAGUAUAUCUGUUUACAUACAGAAUUAGCUGUCUCUCUCAGAUGAUAUGUAAGGGGUAAUCCACAGCUAGGUGUGCAUUAAAUAAUUGAAAUGCAUGAUGUUUAAGCAAAGAAGCACUUGUUCAAAUCAUUUAAUGCACACCUAGCCAUGGAUUACCCCAUUUAUACCAUGGCACCCUGGUAUCCAGAUAACUAUCAUUUUAUCUUUGAGAUGCUGUCACAAAUCGUGACGGAGCAGAGAUAGGACGGAUGCAAGUGCAGGGUGAACAGUUGUUUAUUUGAAAGAGAGACAGGCAGACAAAUCCAAAACGUGAUCCAAAACGUAAUCCAUAAACAUGCAAGAGGUCAGGCAGACAAAUCCAAAACGUAAUCCAUAAACAUGCAAGAGGUCAGGCGAUUGGCAAACAGGCAUACACGGGGCAAGGCAGGAAUCUAGGUCGUGGUCACGGAAAACAGGGU